rnacentral:tRNA from 1 species
CAGAAAAUAGUAUAAUAUUACUAAAGUACAUAAAUUUUGGAUAUUUAAAGAGGAUUCCUUUUCUGA